rnacentral:SRP_RNA from 1 species
GCUGGGCGUUGUGGCGGGCGCCUGUGGUCCCAGCUACUUGGGAGGCUGAGGCAGGAGACUCGCUUGAGCCCAGGAGUUGGAGGUUGCUGUGAGCUGUAAUGCCAGGGCACUCUACCCAGGGGGACAGCUUGAGGCUCUGUCUCAAAAAAAAAAAAAAAAGAAAAUUGUCAGGAUAAUCACAUUUAACUGUCAUAUCUAAACCAAGUUUCUCACAACUCACAUUUUUUUCUUUUUUUUGAGACAGAGCCUCAAGCCUGUCGGCCUGGGUAGAGUGCUGUGGCAUCACAGCUCACAGUAACCUCCAACUCCUGGGCUCAAGUGAUUCUCCUGCCUCCA